GCAACGCCUCUAUUCCGGGCCCGAAGCGCGGAGAAGAGGCCUCCCAGUGAAGAUGGCAGCCCGGAACCACUAUCCCACUGGACCACCUCCUCACCGGACAGUCCUGCAGCAUCGGACCAGCGCCGAGCGGAGGUACACCGGAAGCUUCCAACCCUCCCAUCAGAAACCCACCAGAAGAGGUGGGAGAAGGCGACACAGGAAAAACAAGAAGCCAGAGAGCACAAACAGGGGAACCAACGUACACCUGUAGCCAAGAAAAGGACUUAAAUAUUGUGAUACAUUUUGGAAUUAUCUUCCCUACAACCGAGGAGACACUUCCUGCUCUGCUAGUCCAUUAUAAUUGAUAUCUCCUGUUAUAUUUGAACAUUUAAAUACAUAAUAAAUACACAGUAGUAUCAUUUUUUAAUAAUAUCUUUUCUGAAAGUUUCUUAGUGUUAUACAGGAUCGGAUGGGGCGCCAUGAGCUCAGUAUAGUGGAACAAACUUUAAUGGGUAGCUUCAUAUAAGAGGUUUAACCCCUUAAGCACCAAUACAAAUAAACCUGUACGCCCCUGAAAGACCAGGCCUGUUUUUUCAAAUCGGGGAUGUCUGCCAGAGAAUAACUCUGGUAACGUUUUGCCAAUCACGAUAAUUCUGACAUUGUUUUGUGUCACAAGUUGUCCUUCAUGUACAUAGUAAAAAGUAAGCCGAUAUCAUUUGUAGUUUUUUUUUUUUUUACAAUGCAAAAAAUCAUGAAAUUUUAUAUAUAUUUAUACUUACUGACCAAAGAGUUUAUGAAACUUAUACUUUCAGAUGACUACUUUAUUUUGACAGCUUUUUUUUGUUUUUA